rnacentral:rRNA from 1 species
GAUGAACGCUAGCGGCAGGCCUAACACAUGCAAGUCGAGGGGUAUAGGGAGCUUGCUUCCUAGAGACCGGCGCACGGGUGCGUAACGCGUAUGCAAUCUACCUUGUACAGGGGAAUAGCCCAGAGAAAUUUGGAUUAAUGCCCCAUAGUAUUAUUAAAUGGCAUCCUUUAAUAAUUAAAGUUCCAACGGUACAAGAUGAGCAUGCGUCCUAUUAGUUAGUUGGUGUGGUAACGGCAUACCAAGACGAUGAUAGGUAGGGGUCCUGAGAGGGAGAUCCCCCACACUGGUACUGAGACACGGACCAGACUCCUACGGGAGGCAGCAGUGAGGAAUAUUGGACAAUGGGCGCAAGCCUGAUCCAGCCAUGCCGCGUGCAGGAAGACGGUCCUAUGGAUUGUAAACUGCUUUUAUACAGGAAGAAACACUGGUUCGUGAACCAGCUUGACGGUACUGUAAGAUAAGGAUCGGCUAACUCCGUGCCAGCAGCCGCGGUAAA